AAUGCACUUUCGUCAGAAUGCCGGCUACUUAAUGCGCACACAAUCGGGCAAUAAAUCAGCAUUUAAUGUGCCUGCAUUGAAAUGCGGAGUCAGCCGACAUAACGUCAUCGACAUCAUAUGACCGCGUUUCCGAAUUUCCCCGAAUCUUGUGUACGUGCAUUGUGUGUCGGCCCCGGCCCCGAAAUACGAAAUACGGAAUACGGAAUACGGAAUGGAAUACAGAAUGCACGGCGCAGCACAGACGACGGGUCAUGGCCACGGCCACGGCCACGAAUAUGGCAUUUCGGCGACUCCGGUUGCGGAUACAACAACGGCUCCGGCUGCAAACUCCCGGCUCUGCCGUGCGUCGCAGUUUCACUUUCACGGCGCAAACACAGCUGCGAGGGUGGCGGAGAUCUGGGCCGUGGGAGUUACGGGUGUUUUGGCGGGCGCGACUUGCACUCAGCCUCACAGUUUGUCUUUCCGAAAUCGGCGGGUGCACAGCCACGGACACGGACACGGAUACGGAUGCGAAUACGAAUACGGACACGGUUACGGCCCACUCGAACUGCCAAUGACAAUGCCGCACAGUGGGAAGAAACAUAUUUUUAUUGGACUAAGCUAAAGUCUUUACUAUUCAGCAAUUAUCUUGCUAGUUAUAGACGAUAUUUUAACGGAGACCCAUCACAUUACGUAUGCGCAAUAUUAUCAAGUAUACGCCGCGCUAAGUACUAAAAUGGCAUACGAAUAUAUUUUUCCCCUUCAACAUUUGAUAGAAUUUAAAAGAAACGUUAUUCACCCAUAACAUUUAUCAACAUUUUAUGGUUCACC
ensembl:ncRNA lncRNA:CR46414 long non-coding RNA:CR46414